rnacentral:tRNA from 1 species
UAUUAAUUAGUUUUAUUUUAAAAUUAAAGUUUUGGGGACUUUGGAAACUAAGGUUUUUUUUCAUAUUAGUAUUAAUAA